GAUGAAGAACGCAGCGAAAUGCGAUAAGUAGUGUGAAUUGCAGAAUUCAGUGAAUCAUCGAAUCUUUGAACGCACAUUGCGCCCCUUGGUAUCCCGAGGGGCAUGUCUGUUCGAGCGUCAUUUCACCACUCAAGCCUGGCUUGGUGUUGGGCGACGUCCCCUUUGGGGACGCGCCUCGAAACGCUCGGCGGCGUGGCACCGGCUUUAAGCGUAGCAGAAUCUUUCGCUUUGGAAGUCGGGGCCCCGUCUGCCGGAAGACCUACUCGCAAGGUUGACCUCGGAUCAGGCAGGGAUACCCGCUGAACUUAAGCAUAUCAAUAAGCGGAGGA
rnacentral:misc_RNA from 1 species